rnacentral:rRNA from 1 species
UACAGAGGGUGCGAGCGUUGUUCGGAAUCAUUGGGCGUAAAGCGCUUGUAGGCGGCCUGUCAAGUCGCGUGUGAAAUCCCCUGGCUUAACCAGGGAAGUGCGCGCGAAACUGGCGGGCUUGAGUGCCGGAGAGGGUCGCGGAAUUCCCGGUCGUAGAGGUGAAAUUCGUAGAUAUCGGGAGGAACACCAGUGGCGAAGGCGGCGACCUGGACGGACACUGACGCUGAGACGCGAAAGCGUGGGAGCAACAGG